rnacentral:rRNA from 1 species
GAUGAACGUUGGCGGUGUGCCUAAUACAUGCAAGUCGAACGGAGAUUGUAGCAAUACGGUCUUAGUGGCGAACGGGUGAGUAACGCGUUGGUGAUCUGCCUCGAAGUGUGGAAUAACGAUUCGAAAGAAUCGCUAAUACCGCAUAGUCUCUCUUUUUCCAGAAAUUUGAGAGUAAAGGAUUUAUUCGCUUUGAGAGGAGCCUGCGUCCCAUCAGCUAGUUGGUAAGGUAAUGGCCUACCAAGGCGACGACGGGUAGCUGGUCUGAGAGGAUGAUCAGCCGGAUUGGGACUGAGAUACGGCCCAGACUCCUACGGGGGGCAGCAAUUAGGAAUCUUGCGCAAUGGGCGAAAGCCUGACGCAGCGACGCCGCGUGACUGAUGAAGUCUUUCGGGAUGUAAAGUCUUUUCUGAAGGAAGAAACAAAUGACGGUACUUCAGGAAUAAGCCCCGGCUAACUACGUG